rnacentral:rRNA from 1 species
GAGUUUGAUCGUGGCUCAGGAUGAACGCUGGCGGCGUGCCUAAUACAUGCAAGUAGAACGCUGAAGCUUGGUGCUUGCACCGAGCGGAUGAGUUGCGAACGGGUGAGUAACGCGUAGGUAACCUGCCUGGGUAGCGGGGAUAACUAUUGGAAACGAUAGCUAAUACCGCAUAACAGUAGAUAUUGCAUGAUAUCUGCUUGAAAGGUGCAAUUGCAUCACUACCAGAUGGACCUGCGUUGUAUUAGCUAGUUGGUGAGGUAACGGCUCACCAAGGCGACGAUACAUAGCCGACCUGAGAGGGUGAUCGGCCACACUGGGACUGAGACACGGCCCAGACUCCUACGGGAGGCAGCAGUAGGGAAUCUUCGGCAAUGGGGGAACCCUGACCGAGCAACGCGCGUGAGUGAAGAAGGUUUUCGGAUCGUAAAGCUCUGUUGUAAGAGAAGAACGAGUGUGAGAGUGGAAAGUUCACACUGUGACGGUAUCUUACCAG